GACGAACCGUGCGAACGUUGUUCGGAAUCACUGGGCUUAAAGGGCGCGUAGGCGGGUUCCAUAGUCGGGGGUGAAAUCUUUCGGCCCAACCGGAAAAGGGCCUCCGAUACUGGGAACCUCGAGUGGGGUAGGGGUCGAUGGAACUUCCGGUGGAGCGGUGAAAUGCGUAGAUAUCGGAAGGAACGCCGGUGGCGAAAGCGAUCGACUGGACCUCUUCUGACGCUGAGGCGCGAAAGCCAGGGGAGCGAACGGGAUUAGAUACCCCGGUAGUCCUGGCCCUAAACGAUGGGCACCGGAUUGUGGACUUGACAUGGGUUCACAGUCGUGGCAAAAGUGUUAAGUGCCCCGCCUGGGGAGUAUGGUCGCAAGGCUGAA
rnacentral:rRNA from 1 species